UUGUUAUGAUGAUUAAAACAUUCACCAUCUUUCGACUGAGUAUUGUGAUGGUAACUUUUUUAACUGAGAAUAAUA
rnacentral:snoRNA from 1 species